UUAUGCAGCAUCAUGGGGGGAGAGGACUUGUACUUAAAGGGGCAGGCCCUACGCUGAUCUCACAGGAAGAUACAGCCUCGCCACCACCCUCCCCAUUCAAUGACAUUUCUAUCUUGCCUUCAGUUCCGAUCGUCGCUCCAUCGCUGCAAUGUAUACAGAUUUAACCUCUGCUUUACUGACUCCAUCUUAUAUGAAUUUCUGCUGCUGCAACCCUCUUUUUAUGGUCUGCCCCAGCUGCCGGCCCUCCCGAUGCCACUGGGGAAGGAGGAGCACCCCAAGGUCCCCCCAACCUUUCCAG